CCUCAUUGAAGCAUAUAUAUUUGCAAUGGCUUGCUCAUUCAUCGGUUCUUUGAUAUCACCUUCAGCCCUGGCCAUCCUAUUGAUCUGAAGACUAAAGAAAUGUUAGUAAUCUUCCACAAGAUCAUCUAGCGUGUAUAGAAUGCUCAAUGUGGACAAGAAGAUAAAGCAGUCAAUUACAGUACAGCUAUUACAUUUUCAAGGCAAGACGAAAGAGAAUCAUUUAGUAUUACAAACAUGGAAUUGUUUAAUUACACCAAAACACUCGUGGGGCAAAUCAAUAGGGAGUGGGUACAGACAUUCUUUCUUUUAGAUGCUUACCCCACCUCAAGCUCUAACCACCAUAACAAAAAUCAAAGUGAUCUUAGCUCUGCACUAGAAUGCUACUUUGAGUCAGUAUUGCCCAGUAGUCGAAGCAACGACAAGGUUCAGUCAC
rnacentral:lncRNA from 1 species